rnacentral:rRNA from 1 species
UACGUAGGGGGAAAGCGUUGUCCGGAAUCAUUGGGCGUAAAGCGCGUGUAGGCGGUUUCGUAAGUCUGCUGUGAAAGUCGGAGGCUCAACCUUCGAAAGCCGGUGGAUACUGUGAGACUUGAGUACGGAAGAGGAGAGUGGAAUUCCUGGUGUAGCGGUGAAAUGCGCAGAUAUCAGGAGGAACACCAGCGGCGAAGGCGGCGCUCUGGGCCGGAACUGACGCUGAGGAGCGAAAGCGUGGGUAGCAAACAGG